rnacentral:rRNA from 1 species
UACGGAGGAUCCAAGCGUUAUCCGGAUUCAUUGGGUUUAAAGGGUGCGUAGGCGGAAUGGUAAGUCAGUGGUGAAAGCCUACGGCUUAACUGUAGAAUUGCCAUUGAUACUGCCAAUCUUGAGUACAUUUGAAGUGGGCGGAAUGUGUCAUGUAGCGGUGAAAUGCUUAGAUAUGACACAGAACACCGAUUGCGAAGGCAGCUCACUAAACUGUAACUGACGCUGAGGCACGAAAGCGUGGGGAUCAAACAGG